CUUUGGGUCUUGUAAACCCUAACAACAGAAGAAAAGGGAGAUAUCUUUGGAGGUGGGCGGCCACUAUUUAUAUUUAAGGUCUUCAAUUUUUCUCAUACAUCACAUCGUCAGUGAGGUUAUUGGAGACUGAAGUUUGAGAUGGCUGCUAUUUUAACUGCAUCAUCUGGUCCAAGCUAUGCACCAGAAGACCCCACUCUCCCCAAACCUUGGAAAGGCCUAGUUGAUGGUACAACAGGAUAUAUCUACUUCUGGAAUCCAGAGACCAAUGAUACCCAAUAUGAGAGGCCUGUUCACUCAUCCAAUGGAGUGUCUGCUCUAGCACAAAAGUCAGCUGUAUUUGUUAGUUCAUCUGUCCAAAAACCCUCUCAAGGUCAACAUUAUGAUCCAGACGGUAGGCAUAGCAGAGGUAGCAACAACAAGGUUACAUCCCUGAAGGGAGAUCAGAAUGCGAGAAGCAGUUCUGAUCAUCACGAAGGCUAUGAUUCUCUAGGUGUAGGAACUGACAUAUCUCAGGAAUCCUAUUGCCGCCACAAUGAGAUCUCUGUUACGGGAGGUGAUGUUCCUGCACCUUUGACAUCAUUUGAAGCGACUGGGUUUCCUUCAGAGAUUGUGAGGGAGAUGCGUCAAGCUGGGUUUUCAGCUCCUACUCCAAUUCAGGCACAAUCGUGGCCUGUUGCCCUUCAGGGCCGUGACAUAGUAGCUAUUGCCAAGACUGGGUCUGGGAAAACUUUGGGUUACUUAAUUCCAGGCUUUAUUCAUCUAAAAAAUCGCCGCAGUAAUCCUCAAUUAGGCCCAACUAUUUUGGUUCUCUCACCAACAAGAGAGUUAGCGACACAGAUACAAGCUGAAGCUGUGAAGUUUGGGAAAUCCUCUAGGAUAUCUUGCACGUGCUUGUAUGGAGGUGCUCCAAAAGGUCCUCAACUUCGAGAGUUGAGUAGGGGUGUAGAUAUUGUUGUCGCCACUCCUGGUCGUUUGAACGACAUAUUGGAAAUGAGAAGGCUUAGUCUUGGUCAAGUUUCUUACCUGGUGUUAGAUGAAGCAGAUCGUAUGCUGGACAUGGGAUUUGAACCUCAGAUAAGAAAGAUUGUGAAAGAGGUGCCUAAGCAGAGGCAGACAUUGAUGUAUACAGCUACAUGGCCAAAGGGGGUUCGUAAGAUUGCAGCUGAUCUAUUGGUUAAUUCAGUUCAGGUUAAUAUUGGUAAUGUUGACGAGCUUGCUGCAAACAAGUCUAUAACACAGCACAUUGAAGUCUUGUCUUCGAUGGAGAAACAACGGCGACUAGAACAAAUUUUGAGAUCCAAUGAACCAGGGUCAAAGAUCAUUAUCUUCUGUUCAACAAAGAAAAUGUGUGACCAACUAUCUCGCAAUCUUACUCGCAACUUUGGAGCAGCUGCAAUUCAUGGGGAUAAAUCUCAGGGUGAGAGGGAUUAU
rnacentral:misc_RNA from 1 species